GUGGGGAAUAUUGGACAAUGGGCGCAAGCCUGAUCCAGCCAUGCCGCGUGAGUGAUGAAGGCCUUAGGGUUGUAAAGCUCUUUCGUCAGGGAAGAUAAUGACGGUACCUGAAGAAGAAGCCCCGGCUAACUUCGUGCCAGCAGCCGCGGUAAUACGAAGGGGGCUAGCGUUGCUCGGAAUCACUGGGCGUAAAGCGCACGUAGGCGGCUUUCUAAGUCAGGGGUGAAAUCCUGGAGCUCAACUCCAGAACGUGCGUUGAUACUGGAGAGCUUGAGUUCGGGGGAGGUGAGUGGAACUGCGAGUGUAGAGGUGAAAUUCGUAGAUAUUCGCAAGAACACCAGUGGCGAAGGCGGCUCACUGGCCCGAUACUGACGCUGAGGUGCGAAAGCGUGGGGAGCAAACAGGAUUAGAAUCCCCAGUAGUCC
rnacentral:rRNA from 1 species